UACGUAGGAGGCAAGCGUUGUCCGGAUUUACUGGGCGUAAAGCGUGCGUAGGUGGUUUGUUAAGUCUGUUGUGAAAGCCCCGGGCUCAACCUGGGAAUGGCAAUGGAUACUGGCAGGCUAGAGUGCGGUAGAGGGUAGUGGAAUUCCCGGUGUAGCGGUGAAAUGCGUAGAGAUCGGGAGGAACACCAGUGGCGAAGGCGGCUCUCUGGAACGCAACUGACGCUGAGACGCGAAAGCGUGGGGAGCAAACAGG
rnacentral:rRNA from 1 species